rnacentral:tRNA from 1 species
UCCCUGGUGGCUCAGCAGGAAGGAACCUGCCUGCCAAGCAGGAGACUCAGGUUCGAUCCCUGGGUUGGGAA